rnacentral:rRNA from 1 species
CACGGCAGCCAUAUCACCCUGCAGCCCAAGACUGGUUGCCCACUGAAGCUAAGCAGGGUUGAGCUGGUCAGUACCUGGAUGGGAGACUCCUGGGAAAACUAGGUUGCUGCUGGAA